UUCCAGUUCGUCUUGGAUCGUGUUCGUGCUAGGCUAGCUGGAUGGAAAGGAAGGAUGAUGUCCAUUACUGGAAGAAGGGUCCUUGUGCGAUGUGUCCUCUCAGCCAUCCCCACAUUUGCGUUCUCGGUGUUGUGACCACCAAAGAAACUGCUCAGAGAGAUUGACAAAGUGAGACGCCGGUUUCUAUGGGCACAAGAGGAAGAUCUGUUAGGGGAAAAUGCGAAGUUGCUUGGAGCUCAGUGUGCACCCCAAUUGAGGGUGGAGGCCUGGGGAUCCUUGAUGUGGAGAAGUUCUCCAGGGCAUUGA
rnacentral:rRNA from 1 species